AUAUUGCACAAUGGGCGCAAGCCUGAUGCAGCCAUGCCGCGUGUAUGAAGAAGGCCUUCGGGUUGUAAAGUACUUUCAGUGAGGAGGAAGGCAUUGUGGUUAAUAACCGCUGUGAUUGACGUUAUUCGCAGAAGAAGCACCGGCGAACUCCGUGCGAGCAGCCGCGGUAAUACGGAGGGUGCAAGCUUUAAUCGGAAUUACUGGGCGUAAAGCGCACGCAGGCGGUUUGUUAAGUCAGAUGUGAAAUCCCCGGGCUCAACCUGGGAACUGCAUUUGAAACUGGCAAGCUUGAGUCUCGUAGAGGGGGGUAGAAUUCCAGGUGUAGCGGUGAAAUGCGUAGAGAUCUGGAGGAAUACCGGUGGCGAAGGCGGCCCCCUGGACGAAGACUGACGCUCAGGUGCGAAAGCGUGGGGAGCAAAC
rnacentral:rRNA from 1 species